GACGGCGGGCGCAUGCGCGCUACCACCGCGCGGCCGCAGAGGAAGGCGGCCGCCAGCAGCGCAGAGCGGCCGCGGGGGGUGGAGCAGCGCGGCCUUGGGCCCGGCUCCGCUAUCAGCAGCAGCCAACAUGGCGGCGCGGAGGCCCCGCACCGCCCCAGAACAUGAAAGUGAUGAUGACUCCUAUGAAGUGUUGGACCUAACGGAAUAUGCAAGGCGUCACCACUGGUGGAAUCGUUUGUUUGGCCGGAAUUCAGGACCAAUUGUAGAAAAAUACUCUGUAGCUACACAGAUCGUGAUGGGUGGAGUGACUGGCUGAUCGCUAGUCAUAGUGGAUAUGUACAAGUUGACUGGAAGAGAGUUGAGAAAGAUGUAAACAAGGCAAAAAAGCAGUUAAAAAAGCGUGCAAAUAAGGCAGCACCUGAAAUCAAUACUCUAAUUGAAGAGUCAACAGAAUUUAUCAAACAGAACAUCGUGGUCUCCAGUGGAUUUGUUGGAGGCUUUUUGUUGGGCCUUGCGUCGUAAGGAUCUGAAUCAUCUCUUCGUGAUGGCAUUCGCGUCAAAGAACAGUUGUGGUGACACACUGUCAGAAAGCAGUGUGGAUCACUGGGCCCUCCAGAGCAAGAUGAGAGGACUAGGUAGACAACUUGGAAGCUUUUACAUUUUAGGCUUUUGCCUCUUGAAGCUUGGCAAAACUAGGAUCUGCUGAAAAACUGCAGCGUGCUCAUUAAAGCAUUUCUGGGCAAAACUGGUUCAUCGGCAUCAUGACUCUUUUUAUCUAUGACCUUUCAAGAUCUAGCAUUUUUAAAAUGUUAUUCUUGGAAUAUAGAUAUGUAACCAUACUGUAAGAAAGAAAGCUCCAUUUCUAUGUUUGCAAGUAAAUACUGUUUAUUUUCAAAGUAUUUUUCUUCAUGCUGUAGUAGAUAGUAUCAAUGACUGCAUAAUGUAUAUGAUGCUGUAGUUCCAGCCUCGUGGCUGGCUGUGUUCUUUAAAAGUCACUGCAAUAAUCUUUAAAUCUGUAAUACUCUUUUUAUGGAGUAUUAAAUAACAAAGAAUCACGAGCUCAUUAAAGGUGAAAAUUAACUUUGACUCUGGCCAUUGUAUACAUAGAGGAUGUCUCAUUUUGUAGCCUGUGGGCAUCUGGUACAAAUAUUUGCAAGUUACCUGUGAUUCACGUGUUCUAAAUGCAUGUCUACAUUGUUUUUCCCAGAUGCGUAGACAUGGAUAAACUCACUGAUAAAAUUGUAGUGCACAGAUAAUUGUUGCAAAUGCAGACUCCACAAUGAUGUGAUGCUUAAUUGUUUCACACGCAAGUAAACUGUGGAGGCCAUUUCACACUUGUGUAGAUGGUGAAAUGAAGUGCUGAAGCUUCUGGUAUGAGCACUUUGCAAGGGUUAGAACUUCACAGGGCUUGGUAACACAUGGUUAUGAUGUACCUUGAAUGAACCCAAGGCUUCUCUUGCAGUCCCUUUUAGCUGGAAAUGAAAUCGGAGAUGGUGCUUAAUUUCAAAUUCACCUCUAUUGCCACUGUGUUCUGCCCAACGUAGACUUUUAAAAUCUGACUUCCAGUGCCUAGAGUGUCAGCUAUGGAAAAGCUAGGGUACAGAUUGGGUUCAGUCAGCUAAUUGGAUGAGUGCCUAUUUCUUCUGAAGUCUGGCAAAGCAAAUGGAACUGCUGGAUGUGGUUGUUCUCCAUCUUUGACAGAUCAAAGCAGGAGGCAGGCUGUAAAGGAGAUUGGAAGCAUGGCUGUAGAAAGCCUGGAAAAUUAAUUCUGAAGCAGGGUUUUAAAGUGGUUUAGGUAAUUUGUUGCAAGAUUAUCUUCAAGAACUUGAGAAUCCAAACACGUACUUUGUACAUGUUUCUGCAUUUCAGGCUUGUGAACCUUUUACCCAAGGCCCUGUUUUUUGUGCUUAAAUAUUCUACCAACAAGUUAAUGUGAAACCGAGCCUCCCUUGUGCAGGUUGUGCUGGGUUCUCAUUUACACGUCUGAACUGUAGUGGUGAUGCAUUAGCAUCUGAUGGCUGAACGUGAACUUCUGACAUGUGAUGAACAUCCACCAGGCGGACUGUACAAGAAAGGCCUUUGACGUUGUAAGCUAACGUAUAUUUAGAUUAGGGCAACUCUGGACUUCAGAGGCCCGCACUGUAGGUUAACUUCAUACGCAUGCAUCUGGCCAGGGUAAGCUUUGAAGCACGUCGUGCAUGCCUGCCAUGCUUAAGGAUUUAGUAAAGCUAAAACGUCUUGAAGACUGUGGAUAUUAAAACAUAAAGAAAACAAACAAACAAACCCAACAACAACAACAAAAAAGAAACGCCGAGGAACACAAAUAACCACAAAUAAAAAUCACAUCUGAAGGUUUUUAGUUUUUAGAAGGUGAAUUUCUACAGCUAUGUAAAAAUCGUUGCAGCUUAUUGGAAGGGGGAAGCCCAGAGAAGGCCGGCUCAUCUGGGAUUAAAGAAAGAUGAAAACAGUACAGAGUGAAAGUUUCUUUUCCUUUGUAUCCAAGCAAUGUUGGGAAGGUGAGCACUGUAUUGUUUUCUGCUGAUGAAGUUAAUGGAUUUUGGCAUGUCAAGAGUUACCUGAAGCCGCCUGGUGCACAUCACACAGACUGGCUGGGGGGAGCUUGGAUGUUCUGAAGAGAUCUGAGAAUGAAGUGACCACCCCAAUAACAUAUACCCAUAGACGAGCAUUUAAAAAGCAUUCUAUUCCACCGAAGGAUUUCUAGGGAGUGUAUUGUAGAGUCCUUUCUAAAAAGGCUGCUGUGACCAAGGAAUGUGCUUCAUAGUUAAAAGGAGAAUUUAAAAUAACUUUCAUAGCAGCCUGUAAGCCCAAUUUCUUCAGAGGAAUGUUUUGCUAUCCUAUUGCUGUUAUCUGAGAUUCUCAGACGGUGAAUAAAGAACUACAUGAUUGAGCUAG